rnacentral:rRNA from 1 species
UACGUAGGCAGCGAGCGUUGUUCGGAGUUACUGGGCGUAAAGGGUGUGUAGGCGGUUGUUUAAGUUUGGUGUGAAAUCUCCCGGCUCAACUGGGAGGGUGCGCCGAAUACUGAAUGACUCGAGUGCGGGAGAGGAGAGUGGAAUUCCUGGUGUAGCGGUGAAAUGCGUAGAUAUCAGGAGGAACACCGGCGGUGUAGACGGCUCUCUGGACCGUAACUGACGCUGAGACACGAAAGCGUGGGGAGCAAACAGG